GGGUCCAGUUGGCCUGAUAUGAUCUUACCACUCAUCUUAGAAUGUCCAAAUAACCCAAAUCUCAAUCCCCAAAUCCUCAAAACUCAUUAUAGAUCUUAUCUGAUACCCUCUGAUUAGUUUACCAAAAUACCCUUUAAACCAAAUUCCCAAAAUACCCCCGUUCCAGAUUACCAAAAUACCCUUUGAACAAAUCCCCGUAACACUUUCCUCUUCUGAAUUACCAAAAUUACCCCUUUGACCAAUCCCUAGAUUGCCCUUGGCCUAAUUUUCAAAAUUGCCCAUCCUUCCAAAAUCCCCCUAAAUUUCCAAAAUACCCUUUAACCAAAAUUACCAAAAUGCUCUUGACCAAAGUUACCCAAUUUACCUCCUUUUGACCAAUACCCAAACUACCCCAACCCAAAUCCCAAAAUACCCUCUCCCCUAAAAUUACCAAAAUAUCCCUUCUCCUAAAUUCCCAAAUUACUCCAAGUUUGCAAAAAUACCAAGUUACCCUUCUUUCCCCAAUUUACCCCCAACCCUAGCCUAUCCACCUAAAACCCCUUUCCUCUCUGUUUUUGUUUAGAAGACCCCUUCCUGAGGGGAGGCAUUGUUUGUUCCCAAUGAGUGGAAGGAGGUCUUGAGAGAGGAGAGAAGAUUGUGAGAGAAAGCUGAGAGAGGAGAAAACAGUCGAAGAUCCUGUCUCAGUCCGCGUCAAAUUCGAAGAGAAGAAUUGCUUUCAUACAGCCCAAGUAGAGUUUCCAUCGCUGAAGGAGCUUCAUCGAGAGGCUGAACUUUCCCUUCCCUUGCAUCACCGUUUCUCAUUUCACGCCACAAGAGAUCAUUUGUGCAUUCACUGUCCGAUCUUCUCUUCAAUCUGGGGACAUUUCUUCAAGAAACUAGAGGUGUGUUGGGCUAUGCCUAAGUCUGUGAAUGAGCUGUUUAUGAGUUGGAGAUUGGAGGGUCUUAGCAAGAAAGGCAGGCUUGUUUGGAUUACUAUUCUGCAGGCUGUUCUUUGGUCCAUUUGGAUGGAAAGAAACAAUAGAAUUUUCUGUAAUCAAUCUAAAAGUCCAGAUGAGAUUGUGCAGAAAGUGGUGGGGAAGAUUUGCUCCUGGGUAUUGGUGAAUGAGGAGUUCAAAAGUCAGAAUGUUUCUCUCCUUCUUUGUACUAAAUCACGGAUGUUCUUGUAAUAUGUUUUGAGCUCAGGAAGGCCUAAUUGGCCUGAGUCUUGUUGUAUUAUAAUUUUUGUACUAGUUUCAAAAAGUCAGAGAAAAUUACUUGGGACUGCCUCAUUUGGAAGUCUCUUCCUACUCAUUGUUCCAAUGUUGGAAAUGCAAAACAGCCGCCAUGUUUUUGAUUUCUCAAUUUCAAUUCUAAGAUAGUUUAUUUGGUGUGGACAAUAAUAUCAAUAUCAAUAUUCUUUUCUCUUUUAAUUUCUGAACAAGAAUUGUAGGUUGUUUCUUUAAUGUUAAAACUGCCCUUCAUUAAAUCAGUACAAAUCUGACAGUUAGUGUCAGCCUUCUGUGCAUCUGACCACCAAGAAUGGUAGUUUUUUUUUCCAAACUAGGUGGCUGCAAAAAAAGAUGGUAGUUUGUACAAUGGAAGAUAAGUUACAAGGCCUCCAUUAAAAUUUAUCGACUUCUACCAUUUUGGAACACUGAACUAGCAAUGCUGGGGCCUUGGAACAUUCCUCAUCCACCAUGUAACUAAUUGUGGGUCUCCCUCCAUAGACAUCCUAUCAUGGCCAUUGGAUGCCGAUAACUCGUUCUUGUGUACCAAGGUAAUAAUUUUCCUUACCAAUAAAAAAGCGGUAACAAUCGACUUGUGCAGAAUCAAUUGUAUGGGCAGGUCAUAAAUAUGCUAUAUUAUUACCCUUUCUAAAAGCUCCUGCAGUGUUACAUGGGGAACAUCCAUCAGAGUUUAGCUCAGUAGAGUUCACUCUAACUGGUUGAAUAUCACUGGUGUCUUUAUUUUGUGAGAAGACCUGACCAUUAUACCCACUUUGUAUUAAUCAAAUCAAUUGUGAUCCUUCUGGAAAUCUGCAACGUAAAAGAGGAUUUGGAAACAUGUUCUUAGAGGGAAAGGACUUGGGCUUCUAAUAAAACUUUACAUAGAAGGCUCAUCUGCAAGCUGGACACAGAAAAGUAACAAGGUAGAGAUAAAGAUAUUGGGGCUUUCUGAAUUUUAGAAUGUGAAAAAUUGGUUUUGAGGAUUGUCAAUUAAGUAAUGCAUCUGUAACUAAAUUAUUCAUUUUCACUACUUUGUCCAUUUUGAGAUUUGUUGUUUU